rnacentral:lncRNA from 1 species
UUCCACCCUAAGUAACAAGCUCUUGUCCCAAUAGGAUACUCUUGCUUUGAGUACUGCAAUAACUUUCCAAUUGGUGACUUGCCGUCAGUCUUUUCCUAUUUCAUUCCUACACGAAGAGACUAGAACUGUGUUCUGAUUUCCUUUGCUCAGACACCAAUCUCCAGGGGUGCUCUGUAAUUUGAAGAGGACAACUCAGAAAGCACUCAAGGGCCUCCAUAAGUCCCUGAGUGGCUUCCCUGCCUUCCCGUUCCCCAGCAAACAAUCCCUUGGAUACCCUCUAUUAAAUGAUACGUUUCCCCUUACAAUACCUAGUCCCUUGCCCCAUAUAUGCUAUGUGUAUUGCACAGUCUAGGACUUGACUCAUGCUGUUUCCUCACGGAGCAUGCCCUUCUUAUUUCUAACCAUACAAAUUCCAUGACCUAUCCAUUCUUUCAAUUCUACUUCCACCUGAGGCCUCUAUCAGCCCACAUUAACCUACCUUCUUUGAAUUUCUGUGUGUUCCUUACCUGUACCACCCAUUUUGGCCUUUUAUUUUAUGCUCUUCUUGACUAUUCUGUUAUUGAAACUGUCCUUUAGAUCCCAAGAUUUCUACUUUUUCCCUGCGGAUGCUUUUUUAUUUUUUUUAUUUUUGACUUCUUUCUACCCUCCUUUUCCUCUUACAUCCCUGCUUUGCCUAGAGGACAUCUACAAGAAUCGUCAUGUACAUUCUUUUCUCCUGUUGUUAGCUUUUUUCCCCUGACACUUCAUCUAUUUACUGAUUUACUUGUAAAUCUCUGGAAGAUAUUAGUACUAGCCACCAAAUAUUUCUAUUUCUUUUUCCACACACGUAGAUUUGGAUUUCCCUACUCCUUUUACCUCAAGAAUGGCCAAUGAAAUGUGAUUGGAAGUGACUUGUGUCAUUUCCAAAUAAAAGCUUUAAGAGCCUGUGGACAUUUAUCCUGCGCUGUUUCUUCCUGCCAACAGUGAUGAAAUAUUUUAAUUAUCUAUUGUCCCAUGACAAAGCACCUUAAAUCUUAAUGGUUUAAAACAGUCACCAUUUUAUUAUGUGUAACAGUUUUGUGGGUUGACUAGGCUCAUGGGCAGUUGUCUAAUCUUGCUCAGGGUCUCUCAUGUGGUUCCAGCCUGGUAUUGUUUGGGGCUGGAGUUUUUGGAGGCUCAACUAGGUUGCUAGAGUAGCUGAGCUUUUCUAUUUACCCAUGCCGUUCCAAAGACUCUCUGAUUCACAUGGCUUCUUCAGCAGAGUAGCCUGACUUCUUUCUUGCAUGGUGGCUUAGGAUUCUCAAAUGCAAUAAAAGCAAAAACUUCGAGGUUUUGUAAGUCUUAGGUCUGGAAAUGACAUGUUGUAUUGGUAAAAGCAGUUACAGGGCCAGCUCAAUUUUAAGGGGAGAGGAAAUAAACACUUGAUAGGGGUGGAGGGAGAGUGACAAAGAAUUUGUGGCCAUCUUUAUUACAAAAAUUUUUGUCAACCACAGAGUUACAGGAAAAUGUGGCCAUCUUUAAUCACUACUCCAACGAUGUUUCAAAUUGAGUGGGCUUCCAUCAGCCAGGGUCUCGGAGACAGGACAAAGUGGAAAACAGCUCCCAAAUAACAUACCUAGGUAUAUGAAUAAGAAAUACAUCUCUGCUGUCCUGAGUCACUUAGCUAUUUGGAGUUGUUUGGUAUCAACUUUUGCAUACUAAUAUAAAAAUUGGUACUGGAAAUAGGGUGGUGCUAUAACAAAAAUCUAAAAUAUGAGUCACUGACAUAUAUAAUAAUUGAGUUAGAAAUACUAGUGGUUGGUUGUUAGGCAGCAUCCAGCUUUGACUCACUUAUGCAUUUCCCAGUGAACCUAGCUCAGAAGUUUGCACCAUGAUAUUCAAUAAAUAAUUCUUAAAUAAGAGAGAUUGUUUCUUGUAAUUUUUCCCUAUUUUAGGGAAAAACUUUUUUUUUUUUUCCAUAUCACAUUUUUCUUGAAACAUUGGAGUGCCACGAACAUAUCAUUUGAUGCUCUGUUUGAGUGCCACCAGUGAGUUUCCCGAUGUUUAAGUUUGGCUCGUGGGCAGCCCACCUUCUUCCUCUCCACUUUCUCUUGGGAGCCAUCCUGCUCAUGGAAAGUGUGCUUUCUCCUCUGCUACCUCACACAAGUUUCAAAGGAGCUUGCUCCUGCCAGGGGAGGCUUGGGGUAAGCCAAACAGCAUCAGCUCCCCGGGGGAAGGGAAAUUUCAGGUUUGGAGCUAAGUUCACUUCCAGGGAGUGACAAAGCCUGUUUGAACUUUAAUUCACAGAGUAAAAGAGUUCAAUGUUGGCCAUUAAUGAUUUGGACUUUAACAUGAAGUUGGUACUGAUUACUUUGGGCCAUAAUUUAGAAGGACAGAGUGAUUUAAUCUCUGAACUUUUAAUUUCUCUCUGGAAAAUUAAUACUGGGAGAGGGUUAAAAUCAAAUUGAGAACAUCUUGUUGGUUCUUAGUUAUUAAAGUAUUUGAUCACAUUUUAGAAAUUCUGAUAACUUUGGGCAAGCUGACAGGACAUAGUUUGAGAUGGCGAUAGAACAUAUUGUGAAUUACAGCCUUGGAUACAGAAUAGCAUUGGAACUGAUUUAAUCGAUAAAUUGUUCUGACCCAUUCAGGGCAUUUUGGGGACAGACUCUACAGUUUACUAGUGGCCCCAGGACAUCCUGCAAAAGAGGUGAAAUCAGUAUUGGAGAAGUGGUCUCAUGAAGAUGGGAGCACGACUACUACAAUUGACUGCUGACUUCUCACCCAAGGAAGUAACUGUAUCCCAGCCUAAUCUCAGUGGAUAAGCCCACAGGGUUAAGGAGUAAUCAUCAUGCUCCAUUUCGUUUUUGAGCCAUCUUCAGCCUUUGAGUCCUUAAGCUUUUUGGAGACAGUUUGUGGAGAAGGUCCUCACAACAUUGUGCAACAAGUGUGAAAGAUGUAGUCUCCAUUUACGGCUACUGAAAUAGGCUGAGAGAGGGUUUCCUAGACUUUCCAUCACCACCAGUGAAUUCUGAGUGACAAUAGUGUGGAAUUUGGAAGAAUGGAAGAGAAACUGAAGUGGAGAGAUGGUGAAAGAGAAGAAAAAAUGAAGAAAGAUGCUUGCAAAAAUACUGCUGUGGGUCCUGAGAUGAGGAUUCUGGGAGGGCUGAAAUGGAUGCCCCUGACAGCUCCCUUUGAGUUCCUGUUCAUCUGAAGUACACCAGCUUUCUAGAUAUGCUGUCACUUUCCUUCUGCAGAGCCACAGUGGUGUCCUGUCUUCUCAGACCUCUUCUCACCUCAAAUCACUUAGGACUCGGCCACCAGACAGAUUUGGGAUUUCAGAACUUUUCAGAUGUUAGAAAGUUCUUUUCUAAAUGUGAUGAGGAAUUACGGAAUCAUAAAAUGGAAGCAGAGUUAAACUCAGACAUGUGGGCACUCAAGGCAAUUAGGAGCUUUCUGCGAUGAGAAAGGGAUCAGACUGAUCCUUAAGACUUUAUGCAACCCCAGAGUAUUGCAGCCACCUGCAUGCCGAAGGUGUCAAGAGUGUUCUCACUGCUGCCUAUAGGAGGGUCUUCAGCCUCCAGUGAUCCAAAGUACCAGGCUGACCUGUGACUGCUUCGGCCAACUGAAUAGGGAAGAGUGAUGCUGUGCUGUUUCCAGGCCUGUUCUUUAAAAGUACUUGGAAGCUUCUGCCUUGGCCUCUUUGUGCCUGAGUUGCUGUAUAAGAAUCUGACUACCUUGCUGGAGAGACCUUGUGGAGAAGACUUGACCUUAUAUGCAGAGGUAGAGGGGCCCUGGUUAGUCCAGCCAUCUAGCCAUCCUGUCAAAAUAGCAGAUCCAUUUCCUGCCCUUCUUUUAUUCUACUCUGUAUUACAGCCAACCACAUUUCCAGGCUCCCUUGUCCUCUGCUAUCUAGGAGUAUGAUGGCCAAUGGAUCCAAAACCUAUCCUAUAUCUACAUGUUGGUGGCCACAUUAAUCUGACAUCUGACAGCAAGAGCGAUGAUUGGGUUCACUGGAAAUCUUUGUGAAGUACGAGUGAAGUCCUUGUGAAGUCAGAGUUUCCUCUUCAUGCCUCUACUCCUAUGCAGUUUGACCUCUCAGUGUGCAGCUGGUGAUAGAUGGAAACCCUUGUUCAUAAGCUUUGUGGCACUGUCGGCAGGAUGAGGGGACUUCUGGAUCCUCACUGGUCACUGUGGCAGAGUGGUUGGUGUUGUCUGCUCCCUAGACAGGAACCCACUGAAGAAUCUGACAUUUUUUGAUAUGCUGGCAUUCAUUGUUACAGCCCAUCAUCCCAGCCAUCAAUCCAGGACAUGGGGUCUGUGCCCACGGUGGGAAGGAGGAGGGGGAAGCUGGCUUUGUUCUGACGUUGGGCUUCUUCUGCUCCACCAGUACUUUCUGUGGGGGAAAUAGGUAAAGAAAUGGCUGUUCAGAUGAGAAGAUGUGUCAGUAAACUUUUGCUACAGUGAUGCUGCAAAACAAAUCACUGGUGACUUUCAGUGGCACACAGCAAUAAACAUUUAUUUAGCUCAGGGAUUGACAAUCUUUUUUUUUUUUUAAAGGGCCAAAUAGUAAAUAUUUUAGGUGUUUCAGGCCAUACAGUCUCUGAACUCUGAACUUGUAGCACAACAGUAGCCUUAGAUGCUAUGCAAAUGGAGGAGCAUGACUGUGUUCCAAUAAAACUUUAUUUAUGGACACUAAAAUUGGAAUUUCAUGGAAUUUUUAUAUGUUAAGAAAUAUUAUACUUUGAUUUUUU